CAAAAAGUGACCGAAGAAAGUACGAUGAAUAACGAAGUCUAUACGAUGGUGCCGAAAUUAUAUACGAUAGCAAAAGAUGGACAUACGAAGGUUAACCGAAGACGGGUAUUUAAGCUUCAUAUCUCAGCCGAAGCCUACACGAUGGAUCACGAAGGCUACACGAUGGAUUACGAAGGCUACACGAUGGAUUACGAUGAUGGCGCGAUGGCCAUACGAUGUCUAAAAGAUACGAACAGAAUUUCGACAACAUAUCGUUUCUGUACAAGUCUGCCAUGCAUGGCGGGAAAUCGAUCUUUUUGUCUAAUUCUUAUAAAACUUAGUUUAUUAUCCCCUCGCCUACUACAUGUAAGUUGCGUGUAUAUAAAAUUGUUAUUGACACUCUAGACCCAAAAUGCUCAAAACUUGGUAUGGUGUUACUCGUUAAGAAU
rnacentral:lncRNA from 1 species